UACGGAGGGUGCAAGCGUUAUUCGGAAUUACUGGGCGUAAAGCGUGCGUAGACGGUUAUGUAAGUCGGGUGUGAAAGCCCCGGGCUCAACCUGGGAAUGCCAUUCGAGACUGCAUAGCUAGGGUGCGGAAGAGGGAAGCGGAAUUUCCGGUGUAGCGGUGAAAUGCGUAGAUAUCGGAAGGAACACCAUGGGCGAAAGCGGCUUCCUGGUCCAGCACCGACGUUCAGGCACGAAAGCGUGGGGAGCAAACAGG
rnacentral:rRNA from 1 species